UUGGCUGCUGUGGCACGAAGCGACCGGGUCGAUCACUUCGGCCAGGUCGGUCAGGUCAGGUUGGCGAACUCGACGCCCUCGAGACUGAACCACAGCCCCGCGAGACUUGGCGUUCGGUUACUUGAACGAGUGACCCAUCUACACCGGACGACAGCAUCAGCGCCAUUCAACCCGUACCGAAUCGGGGGCCGUGGGUAUGCCGUCGCGCUGCCGGAUGGUAACCGUACGCGCCUCUC
rnacentral:misc_RNA from 1 species